CCUGGGGCCUUCGAGGGUCACCCUGCAGUGUCCGGAUGAGUUCGUGAAGAGAGGACAUUGGAAAUGUGGUUGUGCUGCUGAAACACCAAAUUCCCCCUUAAUCAGUUGUGUUUAAACUCAACUGUUCGCAACCUUGUGCCCCCACCUGGGGAAGUGAGAAUUCACCUUGGGAGAAAAAGCCCAUAAUCCAGAAGACCACUGCAGCACUUCACAGCAACACAGUCCUCUACAAAGAUGUCGCCUGUGGUCCUGAAAAUGCCCGUCUGGUUAGGAUGAAGAAUGAUUCUAGGCUGGGAUUAUUUGUCCUGUCAUUAUUUGACUUGCUGCUUAACACUUUCCUGAGCAAGGUCCUAUCUCACAGCAACACUCUGAACUUCAGAGCUCUGUGUCAACUUGAAGAAGAAAAUGCCCAAGAGGAAAAGAGAAAACAGCAUGGGCACAGGAGGGACUGCAGGGAUUAUAACAACAGAAACCACUCAGGGCUUGGGGAAGUGGCAUCUCAGUAAGUAAAGCACUUCUAUGUAAGUGUGGGGUCUGAGUGUGAUUCCCAGAACCCAGGCAAAGUUAAGCACAGAUGAGAGGUAGAGAUGGGAGAAUCCCCAGAAGUGAGGCAGUCAAGCAUAGGGGACAAUUUACUAACCUGGAACUGUGCUUAGUUUAGGUUGUGCACACUUUCCUACUUUUUAACAUGCACUUAGCAGCCAGCAAUGCAGCUAAGUGCUCUAUUUACCUUCAAUAUGCACUUGAACCCCUUUCUGAGAACAAUGCCCUACCAACCUUGGACUCCAAUGGGCUUUGAACAAUGGGAGAGGAUUCUCCUCCCCUUACCAUACCAACCAUCAAACUCAGACAGUUUAUACCAAAAUGUAUUCCCAAUACAUUCUGAAGGGGCGGCCUGAACUGGUUUAGGAUACAUGUGCAAUAGGGCAAAACAGUGAAAACAGUGUCCUCAAGAGAACUUUUAAGAACAUUAUAUCUAUAAGUAAUUGAGUAUGCAUAUAAUUAAAAUCAUAAAUUAUGAGGGACACAAGCUAUAUGAAAAAUGAUUAUUUAGUCUUAUCUAUUGAUCAGCACAGAGAAACACUCUUACUAGAUCCUCAUAAUAACCAGAUUUCCUCCUCCUUUUGACUCCACAAAAGAAAUUCCCAAACAAUAGUCAGGACCCAAGUACCUUCCCUCAUGGCCAGCUGUCAAUCAUGACAAUAGGACCCUCUAUUCUGUACUGGUCCUUCUCUGUGAA